AAAAAGUAAAUUCCCACAUGGUGUCUGCACAAAUCAGGGCAACAUUUAAGACCAUCUGUUCUUAACUUUCAUAAUGAGAAUAUUGAUUUGCCUAUGUGGUCACAGCAAAAGGUUUGGACACAUUUCAGCCUAUAUGGAGUUUUCUAGCACCAGCACUGUGAGUUAAUUUUUCCCAUUCCAUAUAUUUAUGCACAGGAUGUGAAUUGGGGAAUCAGAAUAGGAAUCAGAAUCGGCUUUAUUGCAAGGAAGUAGAAGCUGCAGCAGGAGCACGGACCGCAUGUUCAACCAGAUUCAGCAAUUACUGAAUAGAAAUGGAGCCCCUCACUGCCAAGACCAAAGAUAGUGUGUCAGCGCCCCCAACUGAGCAGGUCCCAGGGAAAGAGUCAGAACCCGUGAACCUCCUGCAGCAGACUCCCAACCGGAUGCCACAAAUGCAAGAUAAGGCUGAACAAACCCCACCGGGACUGGAGCCAGGACAUUUUCCAAUUCCUACGAUCCAGGAGACACCAGAGUUGGUACCAGAAACACCAAAAGACCAGAUGCCAAAAACCCAAGCAAAGGAGGUGAAGAAGCCCUAGCCAGGCCGGACCUGGCAUGUGCUCAAAAACCCAUCAUGCAGGUGGACCCAGGAGUUUGUGCCACAAACCGCAUCAGAAGAGGUGUUUAGGGUUUGUUCAUGUCCCUUGUUACAGGACAGUAAAAAACAGUGCC